GACGAACGCUGGCGGCAUGCCUAACACAUGCAAGUCGAACGGAACUUAUUGAAUGAAGUUUUCGGAUGGAUUUUAGUAAGUUUAGUGGCGGACGGGUGAGUAACGCGUGAGCAACCUGCCUUUCAGAGGGGGACAACAGUUGGAAACGACUGCUAAUACCGCAUAAUGUAUCGGAACCGCAUGGCUCUGAUACCAAAGAUUUUAUCGCUGAAAGAUGGGCUCGCGUACGAUUAGAUAGUUGGUGAGGUAACGGCUCACCAAGUCGACGAUCGUUAGCCGGACUGAGAGGUUGAACGGCCACAUUGGGACUGAGAUACGGCCCAGACUCCUACGGGAGGCAGCAGUGGGGAAUAUUGGGCAAUGGGGGAACCCUGAUGCAGCGACGCCGCGUAAACGGAAGAAGGUACUUCGGAUUGUAAACUUUGUCGACAGGGAAGAAAAAUGACAGUACCUGUGGAGGAAGCCCCCGGCUAACUACGUGCCAGCAG
rnacentral:rRNA from 1 species